rnacentral:rRNA from 1 species
GACGAACGCUGGCGGCGUGCUUAACACAUGCAAGUCGAACGGAAAGGCCCUGCUUUUGUGGCGUGCUCGAGUGGCGAACGGGUGAGUAACACGUGAGUAACCUGACCUUGACUUUGGGAUAACUUCAGGAAACUGGGGCCAAUACCGGAUAGGAGCUCCUGCUGCAUGGUGGGGGUUGGAAAGUUUCGGCGGUUGGGGAUGGACUCGCGGCUUAUCAGCUUGUUGGUGGGGUAGUGGCUUACCAAGGCUUUGACGGGUAGCCGGCCUGAGAGGGUGACCGGCCACAUUGGGACUGAGGAACGGCCCAGACUCCUACGGGAGGCAGCAGUGGGGAAUAUUGUACCAUGGGCGGAAGCCUGAUGCAGCAACGCUGCAUGCGGGAUGACGGCCUUCGGGUUGUAAACCGCUUUCGCCUGUGACGAAGCGGGAGUGACGGUAAUGGGUAAAGAAGCACCGGCUAACUACGUG